rnacentral:rRNA from 1 species
GAUGAACGCUAGCGGCAGGCUUAAUACAUGCAAGUCGAGGGGUAGCAAGAUUGUAGCAAUACAAUUGUUGACGACCGGCAAACGGGUGCGGAACACGUACACAACCUUCCUACAAGUGGGGAAUAGCCCAGAGAAAUUUGGAUUAAUACCCCGUAACAUAGCGAUGUGGCAUCACAUUGCUAUUAUAGCUUCGGCGCUUGUUGAUGGGUGUGCGGCUGAUUAGAUAGUUGGCGGGGUAACGGCCCACCAAGUCUACGAUCAGUAGCUGAUGUAAGAGCAUGAUCAGCCACACGGGGACUGGGACACGGGCCCGACGCCUACGGGAGGCAGCAGUAAGGAAUAUUGGACAAUGGACGCAAGUUUGAUCCAGCCAUGCCGCGUGAAGGAUUAAGGUCCUCUGGAUUGUAAACUUCUUUUAUAAGGGACGAAAAAAGGUCUUUCUAGAUCGUCUGACGGUACCUUAUGAAUAAGCACCGGCUAACUCCGUGCCAGCAGCCGCAGUAAAAC